rnacentral:rRNA from 1 species
GCAGCCGCGGUAAUACGGGGGAUGCGAGCGUUAUCCGGAUUUAUUGGGUUUAAAGGGUGCGUAGGCGGAAGUGCAAGUCAGCGGUGAAAUCCCCGCGCUCAACGCGGGAGUUGCCGUUGAUACUGUACAUCUGGAAUGCUCUUGCCGUGGGAGGAAUGAGUAGUGUAGCGGUGAAAUGCAUAGAUAUUACUCAGAACACCGAUUGCGAAGGCAUCUCACGAAGGGGCGAUUGACGCUGAGGCACGAAAGCGUGGGUAUCGAACAGGAUUAGAUACCCC